GACGAACGCUGGCGGCGUGCUUAACACAUGCAAGUCGAACGGAAAGGCCCUGCUUUUGUGGGGUGCUCGAGUGGCGAACGGGUGAGUAACACGUGAGUAACCUGCCCUGGACUUUGGGAUAACUUCAGGAAACUGGGGCUAAUACCGGAUAGUAGCUCCUGCUGCAUGGUGGGGGUUGGAAAGUUUCGGCGGUUGGGGAUGGACUCGCGGCUUAUCAGCUUGUUGGUGGGGUAGUGGCUUACCAAGGCUUUGACGGGUAGCCGGCCUGAGAGGGUGACCGGCCACAUUGGGACUGAGAUACGGCCCAGACUCCUACGGGAGGCAGCAGUGGGGAAUAUUGCACAAUGGGCGGAAGCCUGAUGCAGCAACGCCGCGUGCGGGAUGACGGCCUUCGGGUUGUAAACCGCUUUCGCCUGUGACGAAGCGUGAGUGACGGUAAUGGGUAAAGAAGCACCGGCUAACUACGUG
rnacentral:rRNA from 1 species